UACGUAGGGGCCGAGCGUUGUCCGGAGUUAUUGGGCGUAAAGCGCGCGCAGGCGGCCUCGCGCGCCCGACGUGAAAGCCCCCGGCUUAACCGGGGAGGGUCGUUGGGGACGGCGGGGCUUGAGGGCGGGAGAGGUCGGUGGAAUUCCCGGUGUAGUGGUGAAAUGCGUAGAGAUCGGGAGGAACACCUGUGGCGAAGACGGCCGACUGGGCCGACCCUGACGCUGAGGCGCGAAGGCGUGGGGAGCGAACGGG
rnacentral:rRNA from 1 species